AGGACGAACGCUGGCGGCGUGCUUAACACAUGCAAGUCGAGCGGAAAGGCCCUUCGGGGUACUCGAGCGGCGAACGGGUGAGUAACACGUGAGCAACCUGCCCUUGGCUCUGGGAUAGCCUCCGGAAACGGGGAUUAAUACCGGACAUUCACUUUCUCCUGCAUGGGGGUUGGUGGAAAGUUUUUCGGCCAGGGAGGGGCUCGCGGCCUAUCAGCUUGUUGGCGGGGUAACGGCCCACCAAGGCGACGACGGGUAGCCGGCCUGAGAGGGCGAUCGGCCACACUGGGACUGAGACACGGCCCAGACUCCUACGGGAGGCAGCAGUGGGGAAUAUUGCACAAUGGGCGCAAGCCUGAUGCAGCGACGCCGCGUGGGGGAUGAAGGCCUUCGGGUUGUAAACCCCUUUCGACCAGGAGCGAAUUCGAGACGGUACCUGGGAAGAAGCGCCGGCUAACUACGCGCCAGCAGCCGC
rnacentral:rRNA from 1 species